GGGUAGUUUGACUGGGGCGGUCUCCUCCCAAAGAGUAACGGAGGAGCACGAAGGUUAGCUAAUCACGGUCGGACAUCGUGAGGUUAGUGCAAAGGCAUAAGCUAGCUUGACUGCGAGAGUGACGGCUCGAGCAGGUACGAAAGUAGGUCUUAGUGAUCCGGUGGUUCUGAAUGGAAGGGCCAUCGCUCAACGGAUAAAAGGUACUCCGGGGAUAACAGGCUGAUACCGCCCAAGAGUUCAUAUCGACGGCGGUGUUUGGCACCUCGAUGUCGGCUCAUCACAUCCUGGGGCUGAAGUAGGUCCCAAGGGUAUGGCUGUUCGCCAUUUAAAGUGGUACGCGAGCUGGGUUUAGAACGUCGUGAGACAGUUCGGUCCCUAUCUGCCGUGGGCGUUGGAAGAUUGAGAGGGGUUGCUCCUAGUACGAGAGGACCGGAGUGAACGCACCACUGGUGUUCGGGUUGUCAUGCCAAUGGCACUGCCCGGUAGCUAAGUGCGGAAAAGAUAAGCGCUGAAAGCAUCUAAGCGCGAAACUUGCCUCGAGAUGA
rnacentral:rRNA from 2 species